GGUGACGCUUGUGGAACGAGCGGCGGACGGGUGAGUAACACGUGGGCAACCUGCCUGUAAGACUGGGAUAACCCCGGGAAACCGGGGCUAAUACCGGAUAAUACUUUUCAUCACCUGAUGRGAAGUUGAAAGGUGGCUUUUAGCUACCACUUACAGAUGGGCCCGCGGCGCAUUAGCUAGUUGGUGAGGUAACGGCUCACCAAGGCAACGAUGCGUAGCCGACCUGAGAGGGUGAUCGGCCACACUGGGACUGAGACACGGCCCAGACUCCUACGGGAGGCAGCAGUAGGGAAUCUUCCGCAAUGGACGAAAGUCUGACGGAGCAACGCCGCGUGAGUGAUGAAGGUUUUCGGAUCGUAAAGCUCUGUUGUUAGGGAAGAACAAGUGCCGUUCGAAUAGGGCGGCACCUUGACGGUACCUAACCAGAAAGCCCCGGCUAACUACGUGCCAGCAGCCGCGGUAAUACGUAGGGGGCAAGCGUUGUCCGGAAUUAUUGGGCGUAAAGCGCGCGCAGGCGGUCCUUUAAGUCUGAUGUGAAAGCCCACGGCUCAACCGUGGAGGGUCAUUGGAAACUGGAGGACUUGAGUACAGAAGAGGAGAGUGGAAUUCCACGUGUAGCGGUGAAAUGCGUAGAGAUGUGGAGGAACACCAGUGGCGAAGGCGACUCUCUGGUCUGUAACUGACGCUGAGGCGCGAAAGCGUGGGGAGCGAACAGGAUUAGAUACCCUGGUAGUCCACGCCGUAAACGAUGAGUGCUAGGUGUUAGGGGGUUUCCGCCCCUUAGUGCUGAAGUUAACGCAUUAAGC
rnacentral:rRNA from 1 species